rnacentral:tRNA from 1 species
GCCAGAGUGAUGGAAUAGGUAGACAUGACGGUCUCAAAAACCGUUGUCCGAAAGGACAUGUGGGUUCGACUCCCUCCUCUGGCACCA